GACAGAUAGCCGGUAUCAGUUGUUGCAAUAGCCGGAGUCUUAGUCAACGUACA
rfam:White clover mottle virus genomic RNA, complete genome, strain: CD